GACGUAGGGCGCGAGCGUUGUCCGGAUUUAUUGGGCGUAAAGAGCUCGUAGGCGGCUUGUCGCGUCGACUGUGAAAUCCCGCGGCUCAACUGCGGGUCUGCAGUCGAUACGGGCAGGCUAGAGUUCGGUAGGGGAGACUGGAAUUCCUGGUGUAGCGGUGAAAUGUGCAGAUAUCAGGAGGAACACCGGUGGCGAAGGCGGGUCUCUGGGCCGAUACUGACGCUGAGGAGCGAAAAGCGUGGGGGAGCGAACAGG
rnacentral:rRNA from 1 species